AGUGCCCAAAAUUCUUCUAAGUUCACAAAAUUAUUAAAUGAUGAAGGAAUCUCACUACUAAGUCCCGAACUUCCAAUGUUUACAUAUCAUUAUUAAAUAUGCGAAUCAAUCCCAAAUUCUUUUCGCAAAAGCAUUUUAGUUGAAGUCUACUCACUAUACCCAAACUUAAAUUGAAGAAUCAGUUACCAAGCUCCAAGCCCCCAACAAAUUAAAUCCUUUGAUUCAGCCUCACCGUUCCAUUCCCACCAAUCCUUUCCAAGUUAUUAGUAGUCCCAAUAAAUCCAGACCCUCUCUAGUGACUCGGAACCAUAAAACCAGAUUUAUCAGCGUUCCUUUUAUUUGUGGAUGAAGUACUGUAUCCAAAACAUGAAUCUUGAUAAGCAC